CCUACGGGAGGCUGCAGUCGAGAAUCAUUCACAAUGCUGGAAACCCUGAUGGUGCGACGCCGCGUGGGUGAAUGAAGGUCUUCGGAUUGUAAACCCCUUUCAUGUGGGAGCAAAUUAAAAAGAUAGUACCACAAGAGGAAGAGACUGCUAACUCUGUGCCAGCCGCCGCGGUAAUACAGAGGUCUCACGCGUUGUUCGGAAUCACUGGGCGUAAAGCGUGCGUAGGCUGUUUCGUAAGUCGUGUGUGAAAGGCGCGGGCUCAACCCGAGGACGGCACAUGAUACUGCGAGACUAGAGUAAUGGAGGGGGAACCGGAAGUCUUGGUGUAGCAGUGAAAUGCGUAGAUAUCGAGAGGAACACUCGUGGCGAAGGCGGGUUCCUGGACAUUAACUGACGCUGAGGCACGAAGGCCAGGGGAGCGAAAGGGAUUAGAUACCCGGGUAGUC
rnacentral:rRNA from 1 species